AGGGAAUAUUGGACAAUGGGGGCAACCCUGAUCCAGCCAUGCCGCGUGAGUGAAGAAGGCCCUCGGGUUGUAAAGCUCUUUUGUCCGGAAAGAAAAGCUUCGGGUUAAUACCCCGGGGUUCUGACGGUACCGGAAGAAUAAGCACCGGCUAACUUCGUGCCAGCAGCCGCGGUAAUACGAAGGGUGCAAGCGUUACUCGGAAUUACUGGGCGUAAAGCGUGCGUAGGUGGUUGUUUAAGUCUGAUGUGAAAACCCGAGGCUCAACCUCGGGCCUGCAGUGGGUACGGGCAAACUAGAGUGCGGUAGGGGAGAUUGGAAUUCCUGGUGUAGCGGUGGAAUGCGCAGAUAUCAGGAGGAACACCGAUGGCGAAGGCAGAUCUCUGGGCCGUAACUGACGCUGAGGAGCGAAAGCAUGGGGAGCGAACA
rnacentral:rRNA from 1 species